ACGGAGGGUGCGAGCGUUGUCCGGAAUCACUGGGCGUAAAGCGCACGUAGGCGGCUUUGUAAGUUAGAGGUGAAAGCCCGGGGCUCAACUCCGGAAUUGCCUUUAAGACUGCAUCGCUAGAAUCAUGGAGAGGUUAGUGGAAUUCCGAGUGUAGAGGUGAAAUUCGUAGAUAUUCGGAAGAACACCAGUGGCGAAGGCGACUAACUGGACAUGUAUUGACGCUGAGGUGCGAAAGCGUGGGGAGCAAACAGGA
rnacentral:rRNA from 1 species